CCUACGGGAGGCUGCAGUCGAGAAUCAUUCACAAUGGGGGAAACCCUGAUGGUGCGACGCCGCGUGGGGGAAUGAAGUUCUUCGGAUUGUAAACCCCUGUCAUGUGGGAGCAAAUUAAAAAGAUAGUACCCCACGAGGAAGAGACUGCUAACUCUGUGCCAGCAGCCGCGGUAAUACAGAGGUCUCAAGCGUUGUUCGGAAUCACUGGGCGUAAAGGGUGCGUAGGCUGUUUCGUAAGUCGUGUGUGAAAGGCGCGGGCUCAACCCGCGGACGGCACAUGAUACUGCGAGACUAGAGUAAUGGAGGGGGAAGCGGAAUUCUCGGUGUAGCAGUGAAAUGCGUAGAUAUCGAGAGGAACACUCGUGGCGAAGGCGGGUUCCUGGACAUUAACUGACGCUGAGGCACGAAGGCCAGGGGAGCGAAAGGGAUUAGAUACCCCAGUAGUC
rnacentral:rRNA from 1 species